rnacentral:rRNA from 1 species
AGCAACAAAUGCCCUGCUUCCAGGAAAAGCCUCUAAGCCUCAGGUAACAUCAAAUCGUACCCCAAACCGACACAGGUGGUCAGGUAGAGAAUACCAAGGCGCUUGAGAGAACUCGGGUGAAGGAACUAGGCAAAAUGGUGCCGUAACUUCGGGAGAAGGCACGCUGACACGUAGGUGAAGUGGUUUACCCAUGGAGCUGAAGUCAGUCGAAGAUACCAGCUGGCUGCAACUGUUUAUUAAAAACACAGCACUGUGCAAACACGAAAGUGGACGUAUACGGUGUGACGCCUGCCCGGUGCCGGAAGGUUAAUUGAUGGGGUCAGCGCAAGCGAAGCUCCUGAUCGAAGCCCCGGUAAACGGCGGCCGUAACUAUAACGGUCCUAAGGUAGCGAAAUUCCUUGUCGGGUAAGUUCCGACCUGCACGAAUGGCGUAAUGAUGGCCAGGCUGUCUCCACCCGGGACUCAGUGAAAUUGAACUCGCUGUGAAGAUGCAGUGUACCCGCGGCAAGACGGAAAGACCCCGUGAACCUUUACUAUAGCUUGACACUGAACACUGGUCCUUGAUGUGCAGGAUAGGUGGGAGGCUUUGAAGUGUGGACGCCAGUCUGCAUGGAGCCAUCCUUGAAAUACCACCCUUUAAUGGCUGGUGUUCUAACGUGGGCCCGUGAACCGGGUUGCGGACAGUGUCUGGUGGGUAGUUUGACUGGGGCGGUCUCCUCCUAAAGAGUAACGGAGGAGCACGAAGGUUGGCUAAUCCUGGUCGGACAUCAGGAGGUUAGUGCAAUGGCAUAAGCCAGCUUGACUGCGAGCGUGACGGCGCGAGCAGGUGCGAAAGCAGGUCAUAGUGAUCCGGUGGUUCUGAAUGGAAGGGCCAUCGCUCAACGGAUAAAAGGUACUCCGGGGAUAACAGGCUGAUACCGCCCAAGAGUUCAUAUCGACGGCGGUGUUUGGCACCUCGAUGUCGGCUCAUCACAUCCUGGGGCUGAAGUAGGUCCCAAGGGUAUGGCUGUUCGCCAUUUAAAGUGGUACGCGAGCUGGGUUUAGAACGUCGUGAGACAGUUCGGUCCCUAUCUGCCGUGGGCGCUGGAAGAUUGAGGGGGGCUGCUCCUAGUACGAGAGGACCGGAGUGGACGCAUCACUGGUGUUCGGGUUGUCAUGCCAAUGGCACUGCCCGGUAGCUACAUGCGGAAGAGAUAAGU